ACCACCAGGAAACACAUGAGUAGUGUCAUUGAUAGGUUGCUGUUUUUGUUAUUUUUUUGUUUGUCUGUGAGAGACAACGAGACAGAUGAGACGUGUGUUUAUCUGCUUCAGAGAAACUGAUGAAGCAAUGCGGCCAUCACAGGGUUUAUGUAAGUACACUACAAAAAUAAAUGCAACAUUUUAAAUCUUAAGUUGUAUUUUAUUUUAAUGUAAUUUUAUACAACUAUUACACCUCUUUUCUUAUUCUUGAUUUCUGUGCAUUUGCUGCAGAUCUUUUGUGGUGGAGCAGGACCUGCAAGGAAAGGUGAAAAAAGGGAAAACCUGAAACAAAAGAAUAAUGUAAUGACCUUUUGUAUUGUGUAUGUGUAUUUUUGUAGGACAUUAACAUUUCUGUAGACUGGUGUGGGCACUGAGGAUGGAGAAGACCACAGCAUCAUCCUGGAAAUGAUCGAGAGUCACAGAUGAGAUGCUCCCUCACUUCACCUGCCCUUUGCGGUCUCAUCAGGACCAGAUGCUACUGUUGUGUCUUCAUCCUCAGUUUGAAUACCAGGGAACACUUGUUAGGUAGUCGUGCUCAUGGGGUGCAGGCACACGAAAGUUUGGAGCAGACACAGCAGUAAGAUUGUCCUGCACGUGUUCUUCUGCUCUAGCUUCAAGGUUGUGUGGUUCAGAGAGCUGUCAUCAAGGUCUUCCUCAUCCUGUUGCUCAACGACAUCCGCAUUGAGAAGAGUGAGAUUGUGAAGUGCAGCAGCAGAACUGUAUCAGCUGUGUUCAGAUGGCAGGAGGAUGUUGGGUUCACCAAGGAUGUGUUGUUGACUUGUAUAUGUAUGCAUUUAUUGUGAUGCUUACUUUUAUACAUAGUUUUAAUCAUUUAGACAUUUUUUUUUUGUUCUCAGUAAAUAAAAUGUAAAUAUUUUAU